rnacentral:rRNA from 1 species
GAAAGAUGAAAAGAACUUUGAAAAGAGAGUUAAACAGUACGUGAAAUUGUUGAAAGGGAAACGAUUGAAGCCAGUCGUACCUUCGGGUAAUCAGCCUUUCGGGUGCGAUUCUGUGGAGUUUGAGGAGCUUAACACCUUCAUGCUUUGCAUAUUCGUGCUCUUGGGUGUACUUGCCCGUGUGGUUGGUUAACAUCAAUUUUGGUGGUCAUAAAAUGACUGGAGGAAUGUAGCUUCGAUCUUGUAUUGAAGUGUUAUA